UGCCAGACUCCUACGGGAGGCAGCAGUGGGGGAUAUUGCACAAUGGGGGGAACCCUGAUGCAGCGACGCCGCGUGGGCGAAGAAGUAUUUCGGUAUGUAAAGCCCUCUCAGCAGGGAAGAAGAAAUGACGGUACCUGAGUAAGAAGCACCGGCUAAAUACGUGCCAGCAGCCGCGGUAAUACGUAUGGUGCAAGCGUUAUCCGGAUUUACUGGGUGUAAAGGGAGCGCAGGCGGCACGGCAAGCCUGAUGUGAAAGCCCGCGGCCCAACCGCGGGACUGCAUUGGGAACUACCGGGCUGGAGUGCCGGAGAGGUAGGCGGAAUUCCUAGUGUAGCGGUGAAAUGCGUAGAUAUUAGGAGGAACACCAGUGGCGAAGGCGGCUUGCUGGACAGAGACUGACGUUGAGGCUCGAAAGCGUGGGGAGCAAACAGGAUUAGAUACCCGUGAA
rnacentral:rRNA from 1 species